rnacentral:rRNA from 1 species
GCCUGUUUAUCAAAAACAUGUCUUUUUGUUAAUAAUUUAAAGUUUAAUUUGCCCCCUGAUGUAAUAUUGAAGGGCUGCAGUAUUUUGACUGUACAAAGGUAGCAUAAUCAUUAGUCUUUUAAUUGGUGACUUGUAUGAAGGAUUGGAUGAGAUAUAAGCUGUUUUAAUAGUAUUUAAUUGAAUUUAAUUUUUUAUUUAAAAAGUUAAAAUAAUUUAAAAAGACGAGAAGACCCUAUAGAGUUUUAUAUUUUAUUAAAUUAAAAUUAUUUAUAUAAUUAUUAAUAUAGAUUUAAUUUUAAUAUUUUGUUGGGGUGACAAAAAAAUAAAAAAAACUUUUUUUAUUAUUUACAUAAAUAAAUGAAUUUUUGAUCCAAUUUUAUUGAUUAAAAGAAAAAAUUACCUUAGGGAUAACAGCGUAAUUUUUUUUUUUAGUUCUUAUAAGAAAAAAAGUUUGCGACCUCGAUGUUGGAUUAAGAUAAAAUUUAA